UAGGGAAUAUUGCGCAAUGGGGGAAACCCUGACGCAGCAACGCCGCGUGAGUGAUGAAGGCUCUAGGGUCGUAAAGCUCUGUCGUGGGGGAAGAUAAUGACGGUACCCCACAAGAAAGGACCGGCUAACUUCGUGCCAGCAGCCGCGGUAAUACGAGGGGUCCUAGCGUUGUUCGGAAUUAUUGGGCGUAAAGCGGAUGUAGGCGGCUAGAUAAGUCAGAUGUGAAAGCCCUGGGCUCAACCUAGGAAGCGCAUUUGAAACUAUUUAGCUUGAGUACGGGAGAGGGCAGUGGAAUUCCUGGUGUAGUGGUGAAAUACGUAGAUAUCAGGAGGAACAUCGGUGGCGAAGGCGGCUGCCUGGCCCAGUACUGACGCUAAGAUCCGAAAGCGUGGGGAGCAAACAG
rnacentral:rRNA from 1 species